GACGAACGCUGGCGGCGUGCCUAAUACAUGCAAGUCGAACGCAGUGGGGACGGGUGAGCAACACGUGGGUAACCGCCCAUCAGAGGGGAUAACACUUGGAAACAGGCGCUAUACCGAUACUGAUGGAUGGACGCGUGGUGCAUUAGCAAGUAGGUGGGGUAAAGGACCACCAAGGCGACGAUCCCUAGCUGGUCUGAGAGGAUGAUCAGUCACACUGGGACUGAGACACGGCCCAGACUCCUACGGGAGGCAGCAGUGGGGAAUAUUGGACAAUGGGCGAAAGCCUGAUGCAGCCAUGCCGCGUGUAUGAAGAAGGCCCUAGGAUUGUAAAGUACUUUCAGUCGGGAGGCGUUACCAACAGAAGAAGCACCGGCUAACUCCGUGCCAGCAGCCGCGGUAAUAC
rnacentral:rRNA from 1 species